rnacentral:rRNA from 1 species
GAUGAACGCUGGCGGCGUGCCUAAUACAUGCAAGUCGAGCGAACAGACGAGGAGCUUGCUCCUCUGACGUUAGCGGCGGACGGGUGAGUAACACGUGGAUAACCUACCUAUAAGUCUGGGAUAACUUCGGGAAACCGGAGCUAAUACCGGAUAAUAUAUUGAACCGCAUGGUUCAAUAGUGAAAGACGGUUUUGCUGUCACUUAUAGAUGGAUCCGCGCCGCAUUAGCUAGUUGGUAAGGUAACGGCUUACCAAGGCAACGAUGCGUAGCCGACCUGAGAGGAUGAUCGGCCACACUGGAACUGAGACACGGUCCAGACUCCUACGGGAGGCAGCAGUAGGGAAUCUUCCGCAAUGGGCGAAAGCCUGACGGAGCAACGCCGCGUGAGUGAUGAAGGUCUUCGGAUCGUAAAACUCUGUUAUUAGGGAAGAACAAAUGUGUAAGUAACUAUGCACGUCUUGACGGUACCUGAUCAGAAAGCCACGGCUAACUACGUG